rnacentral:rRNA from 1 species
AUACGAAGGGGGCUAGCGUUGUUCGGAUUUACUGGGCGUAAAGCGCACGUAGGCGGAUUGAUUAGUUAGGGGUGAAAUCCCGAGGCUCAACCUCGGAACUGCCUUUAAUACUGUCAAUCUCGAGACCGGAAGAGGUGAGUGGAACUCCUAGUGUAGAGGUGGAAUUCGUAGAUAUUAGGAAGAACACCAGUGGCGAAGGCGGCUCACUGGUCCGGUACUGACGCUGAGGUGCGAAAGCGUGGGGAGCGAACAGGAUUAGAAACCCGAGUAGUCC